AUACGGAGGAUCCGAGCGUUAUCCGGAUUUAUUGGGUUUAAAGGGAGCGUAGGUGGAUUGUUAAGUCAGUUGUGAAUGUUUGCGGCUCAACCGUAAAAUUGCAGUUGAAACUGGCAGUCUUGAGUACAGUAGAGGUGGGCGGAAUUCGUGGUGUAGCGGUGAAAUGCUUAGAUAUCACGAAGAAAUCCGAUUGCGAAGGCAGCUCACUGGACUGCAACUGACACUGAGGCUCGAAAGUGUGGGUAUCAAACAGGAUUAGAUACCCUGGUAGUCCACACAGUAAACGAUGAAUACUCGCUGUUUGCGAUAUACAGCAAGCGGCCAAGCGAAAGCAUUAAGUAUUCCACCUGGGGAGUACGCCGGCAACGGUGAAACUCAAAUGAAUUGACGGGG
rnacentral:rRNA from 1 species